GACCACAUCCUGCAGCUCACAGCCAGAGGCAGGUGCAGAAGGGGCACUGUCCUCUAUUGGCCUCAGCCUCUGUGGACCAGAUCCCUCUCAACUGAUCGGGUGCAGGCUGGGCUGCAGGCGGGUAGUUAGUGAGUGCCUGAGAUGUGCAGGCAUGCUCCAGGCACUGGGAACACAGCCUUGAACCAACAGACAAAACCGUCUGCAUGCAUGGAGCUUGCAUCCUGACAGGAGGGACAAGCAAGAAACGAAGAAAUAAAUCGACAGCAUUCCAUUAGUUAGCACCUAGAUAAAAGAGAUAUACCUAUAGUGUUCAAAGCUUGAGCUAUGAGAAAUAAAAGAGCAAAAGAUCGUUUUCAUCAAAAGGACUAUGAAGCAUGUUAUGUUUUACUUAACAAAACCAGUGCUAACCAUGUUACAUCCUCCAGACUUGAAGUGUGUGGGUGUGUUUAACAGACACAAUUUUACCUUUUUUUCCCUUUUAAGUUAUCCGUCAACAUUUUUCAGUCUCUCUUUAAAGAGCAUCUUAAAUUUGCAUAAUAGUCAUUCAUCUUAAUAAAAACAUUACACUGUUGUUGGACAUUGUUGUUUCCUUUCAGGUUUAACUCUUUAAAAACUUCUCUAACUCAGCCGCAGGGUGCACUGCCUCAUGCCUGUAGUCCCGGCACUUCAGGAGGCCAAGGUGGGUGGAUCACGAGGUCAAGAGACUGAGACCAUUCUGGCUAACAUGGUGAAACCCUGUCUCUACUAAAAGUACAAAAAAUUAGCCGGGCGUGGUGGUGCACACCUGUAUUCCCAGCUACUUGGGAGGCUGAGGCAGGAGAAUCGCUUGAACCCAGGAGGUGGAGGUUGCAGUGAGCCGAGAUCACACCACUGCACUCCAGCCUGGGCAACAGAGCAAGAUCCCAUCUCAAAAAAACAAAAAACGAAAACAAAACAAAAAAACUUCUAUAACUCAGUGCAGAAUCGUUUAAAUUUAGUACUGUUGCAUUAGAAGAGAGUGGCAGAAGCAAAACUACAGGGUCGAAGGGUAUAAACAUUUUAAAUAAACAGGAUAUGAAAAGUUCUAAAGCUCUUGAUGAAGAUUGACAAUUGCUUUCUAAAGGAAUCUACUCUCACCAGCCACAUAUGUGGGAAUGCUCGUUUAACCAGUUCCUCGAUGAAUCUGAGCCUCAUCUUCCCCAGUGGGAGAUGGGAGCUCACUGAUCCUCUUUCAUUUUUGUCUGAAUUUAAGGGAAAAUUUCCAAAGGACACAUGGUAGACCAGUUCCGUGAUCUACUCAAACAAAGGGCGGAAACUGUCUCUCCACAUUGCAGAGUUCCACAGCAGGAGGGGAAUGCUGAGUUUCAAUAGCUACUGCAGGAGGGGAGACGAAAACCCACCAGGGCAUGGAGAAGUCUUCUUUCUUCCUGUCUGUUUUCAGGGAACUCAACUAGUCAGUAAGUCAGAAGCAGCAACUUGGCAGGGGUGGAGGUGGGGGCUCAGUCCCAAUAGCCUAGAAAAGUGCCUCCUCUGUACUCUGAGAUCUUGUCACACACAAACCCAGAUGAGAAUCAGCUUCCCUGCCCUGAAAAUUCUGGGGUCUCAGCCCCAUGAAAAAAUAAUUUCUUGCCUCGGAGAGCAAUCGUGAGGAUAGGAAGGGCCAAGACUUAACUGAACUCUCAAACACCGAAGUGCCUGAAAUGUGUCCUGCUGGCAGAGGUGACCUCACAGGCUGCAAGGCUUGCCUCUCUUGGAGUAUAUGGUAGGAACAUGCAGAGAUGCACUUUUUGGCAGGCUGACCUAGGAGAGCCGAUGUUCAAUCCAAGCAGCUCCAAAUGCUGAAGAGAAUACAGGGGUAUUUGAUGGGGGGAUGGGAUGGAUAGCCUGCGACAGAAUGCCAGCCUUCAGACCCAACCUAGUGCUGAGGUGCUGAUGUGCGUGCACACCCACCCGUUCCCCCAGAGCUUGCAACAUCAAGACUGGCCUGUGGGGAUCUGGCUAGGAUGUGCACUGACUGAAAUGUCUUUAGGCCAAAUCCUCUUAAAUCAAAAGUAUAAACAGUGAAUUUCCAAACCCUACAGAAACCUCAAAUGAGAAAUGACAGAGUCAGAAAAUGGCUAAUCCUCCAAGUUUGUACUGGAAGGUCUGAAAAAAGAUAGAAAAAAAAAGGGGGGGCCUGGUAUAUAUUUGAAAAUCCAAAAUGACACAUCUUCUCUUGGAAGUGACACUUGGCUGGCAGAUGCCCUUAUAUAAAUAUAUUUUCUUUCGGUAAUUUUCAAAAUGUGAAAUGUCCUUAAAAAUAAGAAUAAAUGACUUGCUUCCUCCUGUGGGAUUACUGCACCUGCAGAGUGCAGCCAGCUCUCAUGCUCCCAGACACCACCCCAAAUCCUCAUCAUCCUGAGAUCAACCUCAACUACUGUGUUGAGUUUUGUCUCACCCAGUGUACGACCCGCCUCCUGAUAUGCAUUUCACUCCCACUGCUCAAGCAAAGACGGUUGUCAAGACAGGGCUAGCAAGAGUGUUUAUUGAGAAAGAUGAAUUCACAGAGAUUUUGAGGUUCCUGGCUGAGUGAUGGAGACCUCAAAAAACGCCUGGUGAGCGAUUUCAGGACCUUCUGUCCAGAGGGAAAGACCAGAACAACUUCCAGGUGAGUCCUGCCGCUUCACAGGGGGAGAAGUGUCACCAGAUUCAAUGCAAGGGUUUUGUGAGUGAGAAGGGCAGGGGGUCUGACUUGGAGAAGGUAUUUCUCUGAAAGCAACGGCUAUUGUGGGAGACGGGAGAAAGCACAGCCAGAAAUCAGAAUGGCAUUUGGGGGUCUGGGUUAGAUAUUCUGGUGGGUUCUCUUCCCGAUGGGACAGAGAAGGAAACCCACUUCCCUUCUGUCUACUUGGUGAAUCUGCGGGUCUCCGAGUUGCUGUCUGCUACAUCUCAUAGCACCUAUCUUGGACUGGACAAAAUUAGCUCAGGUACCCUGCAGGCUGAGAGGGAACAGCUAGUCACAGGAGCCUGGUUUAGGGGAGUUCAAUUGUUCUGAGGUUCCGGGGAAACCGAUGGAGGAGGCCUUGGGAGUCCAGGCAGCGCGCGAGGAAAUGCGAUGCCGGCCCGAGCAGCUUGCUGCCGCCAGAACAGGCGCGUCUGGGGAGCUCAGUCCCCUCCGGGACCUCUGGCCUCCUCUCGAUGCUCCGCUGCCGCCCACCUCCAGCGGCCCGGGGCAGCUACCAGGAGGCCGAGGCAGUGUUCGCGGCCUGGGCCCGGCAACGGAACACGGAACUGUCGUCCCUGGAGAGCGAGGAGGCUGAGCUGAUCCUUCGCGCCAGGCGGCCGGUGCGCCCGCAGGCCCCGUCCAGCGCCCGGGCUCGGAAUGAGCGGUCCAGCAGGAGGUAGAUGAGCGGGUUGGCGCAGCUGUUGACGAAGGCCAGGCAGGUGGCAAUGGUGAGGCCCCAGCGCAGCGCCAGCAGCAGGGGGCACGGCAGCGGCAGCGCCCCCAGACGCGCCAGGUGGAAGACGGCCCGCAGGGCGCUGAAGGGCAGCCAGGAGCCCACAAACGUGCUCUCGAUGGCGAAGAUGAUGCGCAGCGAGUUCCUCCGGGCCCGACCCACGUGCGGCGGCCGUCGCAGGCGGCGCGAGAUGCGGCAGUAGCAGAAGAGGGUGACGACCAGGGGCAGCACGAAGGUCAGCAGCAGCAGCAGCAAGCUGAGGCCCUGGAAGGCGUGGGAGGGCUCCUCGCCGCACUGGCUGUCCUGGCCCCCAGGCAGGGGCUGCAACCCCCGGUAGACCAGGGAGGGCAGGCCGGCCAGCAGCGCCACGGCCCAGACGCCGCAGCACGAGGCCAGCGCGCAGCGCGGGGUGCGCAGUGGCCUCGCCUCGAGCAGCUUCACCACGGCCAGGUAGCGGUCCACGCUCAUGCCCGCCAGCAGCAGCGCGCCCGCGCAGCGCGUGCCCGCCAGCGCGAAGCUGCUGAGCUUGCAGAGGCCAUCGCCGAACGGCCAGCGGCCGCCUAGCGCCGCCGCCGCGGCCCACAGCGGCAGCGUGAGCACGAAGCCCAGGUCAGCUGCCGCCAGGUGCAGCACGAAGGUAUCCACCAGCCGCCGCGGGCCCCGCCGCCCGGCCAGCAGCCACACCACAAAGGCGUUGCCCAGCAGGCCCACGGCGAAGGCCGCCAGGUAGAGCGCGGGGAUGUAGACGUAGCCGUAGGGCAGGUCCCCGGCCGGACACAGCUCCAGCUCCUCCAGGCCGUCCAACCCCGAGUAGUCCCAGGGCGCUGACCCCGGGCUGGGGCUCCAGGGCUCUGUGGGGGCCAUGGCCUGGCUAUGAGGCCUGCGCGGAGUGCAGCCCUGGGCGCAGGCGGCAGCAGCUCUGAGCAGGAGGGGGUUUGCUCUUCACGCCCGGCCCUGCACCUCCCUUCCUGCCACCCAAGCCGGAGGCAAAUGGGUGGGCAGGAAAGAGGGGAGGGAGGAGGGGAUGGGGUGGGAGGGGCAGGCUUCUGUGAGAGAGAUGGUGGCCUCCGAUUUGGGGCUGACCCGAGGGGUAAGGGCAGGGACAGGCAAAAGGGGCUUCACAUCUAAAUCUUGGGAGGAAAAGUCUUCAGGGCUGGGAGACCUGCCCGGCCUCCCAGUAGGAGCGUGGCCCAUUCCUCUAUUAGUUGCUCAGUUUCUUUGUUCGUGAAAUCGGGAUACUUGCCCCACUGUCUCAGGGUCGCGUUGCAAGAGGUGGUGGGUGCCCGAGAGCCCUAACCUCUUCUCAGCCUCCACUUCACCCCUUCCCACCUGCACCCACCGGCUGCUGUCUUCUCUGUUUUAGAGGUGAGAAGACAGAGCCCCGGGAUUUUAUGAGUAUGGGGCCUAAGGCACGCCCCACCCCAAAUCCACCUGUUCCCUAGGAAAGACUCCACUGCCGGGACACAGCAGAUCUGGGUGGGUGGGGGAGCCCGCCCUGGGCAGUCAAGCAGUUGUUAGCGUCCUGAGAUGUGGGGCUCAUGUCUUCACCCUAUGAGUGGCUUCUCUGACCCAGUCAGGUCCUCAUGAAGCCACGCGAAAGGGUUUUAAGGCAGCGAGGAAGGGGUGUAGUCAGAUCAUCCUGCUGGAAAGGGGUGAAACCUGGGAUUCACAUCUGCCUCUUCCCUGUCUUCUCCUAUCCUAAAAAACCUGUCAAGCCAGACACAGAUGUAAGCUCAGUUCAAAAGAUGACACCUAAUGAAACACCAGAUUAGUUGUCCUAAAUUAUGAGUCAGGAGCUUGGAGGCAGCAAGAUCCCUUCUGAACUGAGAAACUGAGAGUAAGGGGAGGAUUCAUAAAGACGAGGGGGAAUGAAGUCUGACCCUGAGGAGGCAGUGGGACCUAAGGAGGAGAGGAUGGGUGAGGGAAAGCUUGCUCUUUCUCCUGAAGGAGGCAUGCAGCCACUUACAUCUGAAUUCUUCUUAGCAGAUAUCCCUUCCACAAGAUAUUGUGGUAGAACUGAUGUCACAGUGCCCUCUGAGUCUGUCCCCAGUGUUCCCAGGUAUGAGUGGCUGAUGUGCCGGGCAACCCGGUGUGGAAAAUUUGAGGUGGAUUAUCAAUUUUGUUCGAUUAAGACUUGUUAACAAUGAACUCCUCCAUGAAGCAGGCACUGUUUCAGGCACUGCAAGAGAUGCCAUUCUUGGCCUUCGCAGUUUGUUGCAUAGGCAGGAGAGAUGGUUACAUAAGCAGAAUCUUAUGUAAUCUUAUGCAGGGGCCAAAUUGUAGUAAAUGUUAAAAACCAAGCCCUCUUAGGGUUUAGUGGAGGGGGAGUGAUUAUUUUUGACGGGAGGGCUGAAUCAGAAAAGGCCUUCGAGGAGAUGACACUUGAGAUCAGUCCCAGGAAGGAGCUGAAAGUCAAAUAAGAGCAGCAGAAAAGAGAAGAAAGGGUCAGACUCGGAGGAGGGAGUAAAGGGAACAAGUAUACCAAAAUGAGUAGGAAUGUGGGCUUUUCAGGGGACAAGCAGUCUGCCAGAGCCCAGGGUAGGAAGGUGGGGGCAGGAGAUGAAGCAGGAAAGGAUCAUGAGGGGAUUUGGAUUUCAAUCUAUAGGUCAUGGGGAGCCAGGAGGCAUCGAUCUGUGUUUUGAAAAGAUCGCUGGCAGAACUAUGGAGAAGGGAGAGGCUCAAGCCAGGGAGACCCCAUAGUAGGUUGUAAUUAUUUGUGUCUGAAAUAGAUCAUGAGCAGUGGGGACAGAAAUGGGAGGGUAUAUUCAAGAGAUAAUUGUAACAUCAUAGGUCUCACAAAGAGGAGUCAAAGAUAAGCCUGGGGUUUCUCUGCUUAGGGACUAUAUGGACGCUGUCCCCUUAACUGCCAAGAACACAGAGAGGCACAUGUGUGUAUGUGUUCAGUUUGAUGUUGAAGUGGGGUCAUGAAAUAAUUUAUCAUCUAACCAGGAUGUUUCUGAGAGUGAAAGGGGCACUAUCAGAAUUAACCUGGGCCGUAAACCAGGACUAUUUUGGGCAAACUGGGACAUAAGGUCACCCUCGCUCAGGGUCCCUCUGGCACACGGAGAUCCCCAGGAAGGAUUUGGAAAAUGGUCUUAGAGGCCGGGCGCAGUGGCUCACAUCUAAUCCCAGCACUUUGGGAGGCCGAGGUGGGUAGAUCACUUCAAGUCAGGAGCUCGAGACCAGCCUGGCCAACAUGGUGAAACCCUGUCUCUACUAAAAAUGCAAAAAUUAGCCGGGCACGGUACGCGCAAGUCCCAGCUACUCAGGAGGCUGAGGUGGGAGAAUCGCUUGAACCCAGGAGCAAAGGUUGCAGUGAGCUGAGAUCAAGCCACUGCACUCCAGCCUGGGUGAAAGAGCGAGACUCCAUCUCAAAAAGAAAAUGGUCCUAGAGCUCACAGAGGGUUGGGUAUGCAGUGUUUAGGCUGCUCCUGUCAAGAAUUUCUCCCACACCAAUUACAAGAUGGGCAGGGAAGAGAAGAGCCUAGGGAAUGAAUGGUCUGGACCUUCCCUUCACUGGCUUUUCAGCCUCCGGGCUUGGUUUUCCCCUGAAGACCCACCCCAGAGCCGCUUUUCUAAUGUCUGAGCAUGUGGUUGCUGGUGAGCGGUGCCCACAUCCGGGGUGGAGUAGGGGGCUGCAGCCUCCUCCCCUAGAAGGCUAGCAGGGGCAGUGCUUGCCUGCCAGAGCCCAGAGACCAUCAGAGACAGACCCAGUGUUGCUGGACUUCACCCCUUCAGGCACACCUCAGUCUGCGGGCUCAGAGAGUGUGAGUGAUCCUGAAAGCUAGAGAUGAACAGCAGAGAAGCCGCCGGGUGAAAACAAAGAAUGGGGCAAGCAGACCAAGAGGGGAAUAUAGGAAGGGGGUUGAGGGGAAGUAGAAGUAGGUUAUUUUAAAAAUCACAGAGCUACUUGCUUCCUGGGCCAUCAUCUCAUACCCAAGGGAAGUCUGUGGCCCAGAGCAUAUGCUGAAUUUUCUCUGCUGAGGCCUGGGUGCUGUCCAUGGGCCUUACUGAACUUGUCUGGAUGAGAAGAAACAGCAAAGGUCAGAGCCAGGGACACUGCCUUAGGCCCGGUCUCCUGGGGUGCCCAGCCCGGUUUCAGUGACCAAGGCCAACUUCACAAGACUGCUCUUUCACCCUUCAGGAGGACUCCCCACAGGAUUACACACAAGUCAACUAAUAGAAACACUCACCCUUACAGGCUGGGAAUCCUGGCCAUGCUCUCUAACAGGUGUGGACAAAGCAGAAGAAGUCUUCCCUCUUCCUCCAUCCCACCCCUGGGAGCCUUCUCUAACCUCCAUCCCUAAGAGGACUUCCUCUCUCUGCACUGCUGGAGCCAGGGCAACUGUUACGUGGCUCCGUCUUGCCUUGCCCAUGGGAUUAUGAACUUCUCAGGGCGAGGGGGAGCUUCUUUCUACUCAUCAGGGUGAUUAGCACAAGCCUGAAAACAGAGGAGAUACUUUAAAUAAAUAUCCAAUGCUUCGGGCUAAAUUGUUUUCGAGAGUAGGUUUAUUUCUGCCCCUUUACAGGUUAUAUUUAAGUUCUUAUAACUUAUUUUUUCUAAUUUUAAUUUUUCUGUACAAAGAAUCUUAACAUUUUAAGUAAAUUGUAUUUGCCUUUUUAUGUUUAAUCAUAAAAGCCAUCUAAUACAUUACAGAAUAAAGAAGUAGUCGUCAUCUUGGACCUGCUACCCCUACACAACCAAACUUAGCCAGUGAAGGACAUUUUCAAAAGUAUUUAUUUGUAAUCUCAUUAUUUUUAGAUUUUCUAUUUUUAAAUAUUCCAUUUCAGAUAUUCUUCACAUUUUUUACACAGGUGUUUCAAAGUCGUAUCUGUAAUUAGAGUGUACACAGUAUUCUCAAUUAAUAUCAUAUAAAUCCACAUGAGUCUAUGUUGCUUAAUUUUCUAAACCCUUAAAUAUGGAUAUUUAGGAUGUUUCUAGUAUUUUUAACUGUUAUAGAAAUUUGUAAUGAAUAAUUGCACUUAUGACUUUUUUAUAUUGUUUUUAUAACAUAAAUGCUCUUGUAUAAGUACAUAUAAAUAUGUAUUUAUAUACAUAUAAAUAUGUACAAAUAUAACAUAUUUAUAUAAAUAUGUAUAAAUAUAACAUUUAUAUAAAUAUGUUGUAAAACACGUUAUAAAUACAAAUUUUGUAACAAAGGCAAUGAAAAUUUUUAUUGCUUGAUACAAAUGUUUACAGUGAUUAGCAGUUUAGAAUGUCACUGGCAUUGUAUGAGAGUAUAAGGUUCAACACAGUCUUCUUAGAGAUGUUCAUCGGUAACAUAUAUUUUCCAUUGUAAUAGGCAGUGAGGUAAAAUGGUACCUCAUUUCAAUUUGCACUUGUUUAUAAAUAAGAUGGAAAAUCUAUUUAUUUCCUAAGUGAACCAUUCUAAUCAUGUCCUUCACAUAUUUAUUAUAAUCUAUGUAUUUCUUAUUAAUUUGUACAAACUAUAUAUUUAGGAUGAGUCAUGAUUUAUUCCACUUGAUUCAAAUAUUUUUCCAAAUUCUUUUCUUAGCUAUUAUUUAUUUUAGUUUGACAUUUUCAUAUAGUCAAAUUUGUUGCUAUUAGCAAUUUCAGAGUUUAGAAUGUUACUUUCUCUUUGACAAUGUAAGAAGAUUCAGUCUGUCAUUAAAAAAUAAUUUUCAUUAGUAUUUUAAAAUUUACCUGGUGUGUAAUCGAUGUUUUCAUAUUUCUAUCCAGCUUUCCUAACAUCAUU
rnacentral:lncRNA from 1 species